rnacentral:rRNA from 1 species
UCGGCCGCCCUUUUAUCAAAAACAUAACUAUAUGUUAUAAUAUAUAGCUUUUCUGCUCAAUGGUAAACUAAAUAGCCGCAGUACUCUGACUGUGCAAAGGUAGCAUAAUCAAUUGGCUUUUAAUUAAAGUCUGGGAUGAAUGAAAGCAUGGGUAACGGCUGUCUUACUGUUAAAUUAUAUUGAAGUUAGUAAGUAAGUGAAAAUACUUGCAAUUUAAAAAAGACGAGAAGACCCUAGAAACUUGUGUAAUUAUUUUGUUGGGGCGACAGAAUUACAAACAACUAAUUUUAUUAUACGUGACGUUAACAGAUAGAUUAAGUUACUCUAGGGAUAACAGCAUAAUUUUUAUAGUUUGUGACCUCGAUGUUGGACUAGGUAAAUAAUUUUUUAGAAGGAAAUUUAAAUGCUCUGUUCGAGCAGUAGAACCUACAUGAUCUGAGUUCAAACGGGGAGCUC